CGCUGUAUAGCUAUCCUAGCAUUAACCUUUUAAGUUAAAGACGGGGACACACCCCUACAGUGAAA
rnacentral:tRNA from 1 species